rnacentral:piRNA from 1 species
UAUGAAGAGGUUGGGGAUGAUGCU